AAAAAUGUGAAUAGAAAACGCACUCACAACCCAUCAGGCAAAUUUUGUAUUUUAUUUGUGUUUCAGUUUUGUUUUUUUGUCUCCUUCUUUAUUCCCGAUUUUCGAUCCUACUUU
rnacentral:ribozyme from 1 species